GAUACGUCUUCAGAGUUUGAUCCUGGCUCAGGAUGAACGCUGACAGAAUGCUUAACACAUGCAAGUCGACUCGAGUCUUCGGACUUGGGUGGCGCACGGGUGAGUAACACGUAUCCAACCUUCCGGUUACUCGGGGAUAGGCUUUCGAAAGAAAGAUUAAUACCCGAUGUUGCGUAUCUUUCUCCUGAAAGAUACGCCAAAGGAUUCCGGUAACCGAUGGGGAUGCGUUCCAUUAGGCAGUUGGCGGGGUAACGGCCCACCAAACCUUCGAUGGAUAGGGGUUCUGAGAGGAAGGUCCCCCACAUUGGAACUGAGACACGGUCCAA
rnacentral:rRNA from 1 species